rnacentral:rRNA from 1 species
UACGGGGGGAGCAAGCGUUGUUCGGAUUUACUGGGCGUAAAGGGUGCGUAGGCGGCGCGGUAAGUCGGGUGUGAAAUCUCGGAGCUUAACUCCGAAACUGCAUUCGAUACUGCCGUGCUUGAGGACUGGAGAGGAGACUGGAAUUUACGGUGUAGCGGUGAAAUGCGCAGAUAUCAGGAGGAACACCCGUGGCGAAAGCGGCUCUCUGGGACGGUACUGACGCUGAGACGCGAAAGCGUGGGGAGCAAACAGG